rnacentral:rRNA from 1 species
GACGAACGCUGGCGGCGUGCCUAAUACAUGCAAGUAGAACGCACAGUUUAUACCGUAGCUUGCUACACCAUAGACUGUGAGUUGCGAACGGGUGAGUAACGCGUAGGUAACCUGCCUGGUAGCGGGGGAUAACUAUUGGAAACGAUAGCUAAUACCGCAUAAUAUUGAUUAUUGCAUGAUAAUUGAUUGAAAGAUGCUAUUGUAUCACUACCAGAUGGACCUGCGUUGUAUUAGCUAGUAGGUGAGGUAACGGCGCACCAAGGCGACGAAACAUAGCGGACCUGAGAGGGGGACCGCCCACCCGGGAACUGAGCCCCGCCCCAGCCUCUUCGGGGAGGAACCAGAGGGGAAUCUCGGGCAAUGGGGGAAGGCUUGACGGAGCAAGGCGGCGUGGGUGAUGAAGGUUUCGGAACCGUAAACCCCUGUUAUAAGGGAAAAACGGUUGUGGAGGUAAAAAUUCACGUCUUGACGGCAUCUUACCAGAAAGGGACGGCUAACUACGUG